AUUGAACGCUGGCGGCAGGCCUAACACAUGCAAGUCGAACGAGUGGCGGACGGGUGAGUAAUGUCUGGGCAACUGCCUGAUGGAGGGGGAUAACUACUGGAAAAGGUAGCUAAUACCGCUUACCACCCGAUGUGCCCAGAUUGGAUUAGCUAGUUGGUGGGGUAACGGCUCACCAAGGCGACGAUCCCUAGCUGGUCCGAGAGGAUGACCAGCCACACUGGAACUGAGACACGGUCCAGACUCCUACGGGAGGCAGCAGUGGGGAAUAUUGCACAAUGGGCGCAAGCCUGAUGCAGCCAUGCCGCGUGUAUGAAGAAGGCCGUCGGGUUGUAAAGUUCUUUCAGCGGGGAGGCGUUACCCGCAGAAGAAGCACCGGCUAACUCCGUGCCAGCCGCCGCGGUAAUUC
rnacentral:rRNA from 1 species